rnacentral:rRNA from 1 species
AACGAACGCUGGCGGCAUGCCUAACACAUGCAAGUCGAACGAGACCUUCGGGUCUAGUGGCGCAUGGGUGCGUAACGCGUGGGAACUUGCCCUUAGGUUCGGAAUAACUCCCCGAAAGGGGUGCUAAUACCGGAUAAUCUCUUCGGACCAAAGAUUUAUCGCCUGUGGAUGGGCCCGCGUUGGAUUAGCUAGUUGGUAGGGUAAAAGCCUACCAAGGCGACGAUCCAUAGCUGGUCUGAGAGGAUGAUCAGCCACACUGGGACCGAGACACGGCCCAGAUUCCGACGGGGGGCGGCAGUGGGGAAUAUAGGACAAUGGGCGAGAGCCUGAUCCAGCCACGCCGCGUGGGUGUUGAAGGCCUUAGGGUUGUAAAGCUCUUUUACCCGGGAUGAUAAUGACGGUACCGGGAGAAGAAGCUCCGGCUAACUCCGUG